GAUAAUGAAAAGUUGCUUUGGAUUACUGGGCAAGUUUUCAGUUUCCUUGCAGUUUACUGAAAUCUGGUGAAGAACAAGAGAGUAAACAGUAACAGCUUAUUCUAUGGUUAAGAUGUGUGCCUAUGAACACGCUACAUUUCAGAAGAUGGUUUGCAGUUGCCUGUUUAGCUAUGUGAAAAUAUGUUGCCUCUUGGCAAGUGAUUUUGCAAUGAAUAUGCUGAAUGUUACCAGUUUUACAGGCAUCAGAAACAUGAAUCUCUUUCAGUGAAUGCAAAACUACAUGCAGCUUCACACUCCAGGUUGUGGUGGCGACAGGCCCUUGUAGCCCUGGAACUUUAUUGCUGAGCACAGAACGUGUCUUACACAUCCAGGCUGGCAGUGGCUGCUCAGAGUGAUUAAUCUCAAUUUACUAGAGGUGUCUGGGAUGGCUGGGAAAGCCCUGCUGAGCCCUGCUGGAGCCCAGUCAGCUGGGUGCUGGGAGAUGCCUCACUGUGGAAUUUUACAAGAGAACGUCUCAAAAUCCUGGAUUCAUCCUUUUAAAGCCAUUAGGCGCGCGGCGAUGCUUUAGGACAGGCUGCUGGACUCGGGCGGUAGCUGCCGGCAGCGGCCUGCAGGUGGCAAUAUAGGAUCCUCGGACCGGGCACAUCUCGGCUCCGCGUUGAUGAAAGCCUCUUACCCUCCCCAAAUAUUGGCGUACAGCUUGGAUUUACAGUGUUUCCCAGUUAAUUCUUGACUCUCAGCAGCGCUGACCAAGACAUCCUCUGUGGCUAGUCAUGCAUUUCGACUACUAUCACUUGCAGAGAUAUAAAUACAGUCAUAUCCAAAAUGAGCAAACUGACACAUUUUGAUUUACAGGGAAAACCUUCCCUUUGGCUUUGCAUAUCAGUAGUAUACAAAAAAUUGAGUAAGCAUCAUGGUCCUGUGUACGCGCCUGGAGAACUUCAGCUGUGGACUAGAGUUCCUGCUCUCAGUGGAAAAGCAAGGGGUCAUCAGGACAAAACGCACAUGCAAGCCUCCACAAGUGCCACCAAGAGAAAUGUGUUAUUACCACAACUUUAGGCCUUAUGGAAGCCUCUGUGGUAGGAUGAGGACGCUGGCCUUGCCUUAUGCUCUUGUUACUGGUGCAUCUUUCCUCGUCACAUCAAAUUAUGUUCAUUUUCAUCUUGUGAUGCUCAAGUUGGGUUUGUGCACUCUGCUUUCACCUACUUACAGAGACAACUUUACCUCUUCUGUGACACACGUUUUUCAGUCUUAAACUACUCAGACUGUCCUUAGAAACAAUCCUUUCCAAAAUUAAAGAUACCUGCAGUUCCACAGUGUUGGAUCUCAUUUGCUUGAGGACAGCAUUACUUGAUUUCCCCAAAUGUGCCUUUAUUCAUCAGUGAAUCUGAGUGAUCUUUUCCUUGGUUGUCCUGGGAACUACUACCACUAAGU